GGAUAUUAUAGUAAUACAUGUAUUAGUACUUAAAUAAUAUCAGGUAUUGAGAAUGAAAAUACUAUGCUAUAUGUGUCUGUAGGAAUAUGAUAGUGAUACACAGUUAUUAUUAUUUAGAAAGUUACGAUCUUGGAUUUUGUUAUCUACAAAGAUACGACUGUACCAGAGCAGGUAGAUCUUUCUCAUUGCUUUACAUUGUUUAUUGGAUCAACAUUUGUAAAUAUUGUAUUUUAUUCAUUUAUUAUUGUUAUAUGUAAAUAUUAUGUUCAAGUAGUUAUGAUGUAACAUGCAUAUGGAUAUCAAUACAUAGCUGAAACAGAGGGAAUUUGAAGUAAAGUAAGCAUUAUGAGGGAUAGAAACUCGACCUUCUAAGAACUCUCAUAUAAUAGAAAAUUGUGACUACAUCUUGUUCUAUGCUCAAUGAAUGUGAUACAAGUGAUGUAUGAAUGGACAGGUUAUAUACAUUGUGUUAUGGUUUUAAAACAAACCAUAAACAGAGGGAAUGUAGAAUAUUGCAUAUUCUAUGUUUCUAUUGAUUAUAUAUAUGGAUGUGUGGAUUGACAUAAGUAACAGAUGGUAUCAAUAAGUCACAAGGCUUUCUUUGUCCGAGAGCUCUGGAAUGUGGAU